rnacentral:ncRNA from 1 species
CAAGAUCUUGGUCCUGAAUCUUUGACGUUGGCUGUUUCUUGCAUAGAUGCAUGGUAGUGUAAGCGAAGAGAGAGGUGUGUUUUAUAUCGAAACGGAAGAGCGUUAAAUACGCUCUCUUACCGAGGGGUGUUAUUAAUUAGAAGAGGAGGCCCCGCGAAAGUCUCUAACACCAGUACUGGAUAUAUAUGGCAAUGAGGGAAACCUCGACCUUGACAACGAAAAGAGGGGUGAGUAAGACUUGGUACCAGAACUCUCGGCGAAGCCAGCGCCCCAAGUUAACAUAUAACGGCAAAUAGGUGGUUAGGCAGAAAUAUAGAAAAGAGGGUAGUACGCAUCUCGAUGCAGAGGUCAAAUAAGAGGAUCGAAGGUGUUCGGCUAUUUACUGCUCUAUUGUUGAGUCCACGAAACCUAGGGAAUAGACCCGGAUUUGAGACCCGGUUAUUCUAGGCGAAAACAAGUCACACUGCCUGGGAACUACGAACCAUGGUUUAGAACUCGAAGGACUUGGCGGUGUACUAAUCCCCCCAGGGGAACCUGGCCCUUAAUUCGAUGAUCCACGAAACUCUUACCUUCUCUUGUGUUGUCUAGGCUCGUUCGUUUUGUCAACGGGCCUAGAUGGCGAGCAGUUUGCAUACCGCCGUUGUGCAGCCUAUAUCGCAAGAGGAAAGAAAUAGGCGACGCAGUAGGCUUGUCCUACUACUAAUUCAGGUAAACGUGUAGCCUAUGGGAAGGGGCUGCUGGGUUACAAUUUUGGUUUUUACUGGAGCUACUCACUGAGUGAGACGCGAAAGAGGACUUGGAAGUAAUGACUUUAUACAAAGAAGUCAUGAAUGGAGCUCUAGUAUGUGUACAGAUCGCCCGUCGCUCGCCCCGAAAGGGGUGAUAAGUCGUAACACGGUAGGGGUACCGGAAGGUGUCCCUAAUAUAUA